rnacentral:rRNA from 1 species
UGCAUGUCUAAGUACAUGCCGUAUUAAGGCGAAACCGCGAAUGGCUCAUUAAAUCAGUCAUGGUUCCUUGGAUCGUACCUUACUACUUGGAUAACUGUGGCAAUUCUAGAGCUAAUACAUGCAGCAGAGCUCCGACCUUCCGGGAACGAGCGCUUUUAUUAGACCAAAACCAAUCGGACCUCGUGUCCGUCUCUUGUGGUGACUCUGUAUAACUUUGGGCUGAUCGCACGGGCCCGUCCCGGCGACGCAUCCUUCAAGUGUCUGCCUUAUCAACUUUCGAUGGUAGGUUACGCGCCUACCAUGGUCGUAACGGGUAACGGGGAAUCAGGGUUCGAUUCCGGAGAGGGAGCCUGAGAAACGGCUACCACAUCCAAGGAAGGCAGCAGGCGCGCAAAUUACCCACUCCCAGAACGGGGAGGUAGUGACGAAAAAUAACAAUACGGGACUCUUUUGAGACCCCGUAAUUGGAAUGAGUACACUCUAAACCCUUUAACGAGGACCCAUUGGAGGAUAAGUCUGGUGCCAGCACCCGCGGUAAUUCCAGCUCCAAUAGCGUAUAUUAAAGUUGUUGCGGUUAAAAAGCUCGUAGUUGGAUCUCAGUUCCAGACGGGUGGUCCUCCUACCGGAGGUUACUGCCUGUUCUGAACAGUCAGCCGGUUUCUCUUGAUGAUCUUCACCGGUUGUCUUGGGUGACCGGCAAGUUUACUUUGAAAAAAUUAGAGUGCUCAAAGCAGGCGUGACGCCUGAAUAAUGGUGCAUGGAAUAAUGGAAUAGGACCUCGGUUCUAUUUUGUUGGUUUUCGGAACACGAGGUAAUGAUUAAGAGGGACAGACGGGGGCAUUCGUAUUGCGACGCUAGAGGUGAAA